CAAUGUGAAAUCUCAACAUUUGAAGUUGAAUCAAGUGAGAGAAACUGUGCAAUUGAUAUUCCAAUCAAACUCAUCCCAAUGUUUGACACCGUCGAUCGAGAAUUACCACUGGUUAUUUUACCUGCUUCAACAAAAUUUUCUGGUUAAAUGGCAUCUACAAGUCAUAUUGAAAGCAGGAACCUAAGAGGCCAAAUAUGCAUAAUAGCAUAAAUUAAUGAAGCAUGCAACAAAAAAUCACCAGACAGAUGAAUUAGUUAUAUAGCUUAGUCAACCGUAGUCCUAACAUAAAGGCCAUAGCUUAUAGAUAAGGAACACUUGCCCUUUUAAUCUAGUGGAAAAUAUAUGCUUCAUAAUGCUUAAAGCUAGGGAACAAAGAUGCUCUAAUAACCUUUCUGUGGCCUUGGCAUUCCAAAAAAAGGACUAAUUUAUGUAUUUGGUCAUUUCAAGAACCCUGACUUGGCUUCUCAAAUUUCAAAAAGCAGAAAUUUGAAUCAUUUUUUAGUUUAUCUGGAAGGACAAAAGUUCUUUAGGAAACAGUAUAUUGAGACCUUCAUAAUACAGAACCUUAAACUGCAGCUGCAUUGGCCUAUUUUUUAGCCAUGAUAAUACAGAACCUUAAACUUCAGAUGCAGAAAUUGGACGUUUUGCAGCCAUGAUGUAAAUCCAUAUUGAGAUAAUAUGUUUAUAACUGAAAUUAGCUAGAUCACUAUAGACAUGUCUUUGAAGAAUACUCAAGAAAGGAAAAGGAAAAAAAGGACAACAGAAAAGGUCAGAUAAGAAGGCUACCUUGAUCAUCAGAUUAUUCAUCAACAAAACUAAAGCUGUUUCUGGUUGGAGAGUCCCAAAAUAUCAAAAUUAAAAAUAAAAUUCAGAGAAGCGAUUCUGAUAAUGGAGAUGGACAAUUAAUCUUCCUCUUUCUCAUCUCUCAGCAGUAUCUCCUGCAUUUCUUUGUUCUUGGAGUUGGAGAGAGAGUUUUGAGAGGGUUUGAGGUGUGAAGAGAAUAGAGGGCAGAAAAAGGAUCUGAGGGGGAAAAAAACGAUGUGAUCUGAUAAUUUUUUUCCUUUUUGAUCCAGAGGUUAACUGAACCAAAAAAAAAAAGACACU
rnacentral:lncRNA from 1 species